rnacentral:rRNA from 1 species
UACGAAGGGGGCGAGCGUUGUUCGGAUUCAUUGGGCGUAAAGGGUGCGUAGGCGGCGCGGUAAGUCGGGUGUGAAAUCUCGGAGCUUAACUCCGAAACUGCAUUCGAUACUGCCGUGCUUGAGGACUGGAGAGGAGACUGGAAUUUACGGUGUAGCGGUGAAAUGCGUAGAUAUCGUAAGGAAGACCAGUGGCGAAGGCGGGUCUCUGGACAGUUCCUGACGCUGAGACACGAAGGUCAGGGGAGCAAACGGG